UACGUAGGGCGCAAGCGUUGUCCGGAAUUAUUGGGCGUAAAGAGCUCGUAGGCGGUCUGUUGCGUCCGCUGUGAAAUCCCGGGGCUCAACCCCGGGCCUGCAGUGGAUACGGGCUGGCUAGAGGCAGGCAGGGGAGAGCGGAAUUCCUGGUGUAGCGGUGAAAUGCGCAGAUAUCAGGAGGAACACCGGUGGCGAAGGCGGUUCUCUGGGCCUGUACUGACGCUGAGGAGCGAAAGCGUGGGGAGCGAACAGG
rnacentral:rRNA from 1 species